GUGGGGAAUCUUGCGCAAUGGGCGAAAGCCUGACGCAGCGACGCCGCGUGGGUGAUGAAGGCCUUCGGGUUGUAAAGCCCUGUGGGGAGGGACGAAUAAUACCGACCUAAUACGUCGGUAGAUGACGGUACCUCCUUAGCAAGCACCGGCUAACUCUGUGCCAGCAGCCGCGGUAAGACAGAGGGUGCAAACGUUGUUCGGAAUUACUGGGCGUAAAGCGCGUGUAGGCGGUCGUGUAAGUCGGGUGUGAAAGCCCGGGGCUCAACCCCGGAAGUGCAUUCGAUACUACUCGACUAGAGUACUGGAGAGGAUGGUGGAACUCUCGGUGUAGAGGUGAAAUUCGUAGAUAUCGAGAAGAACACCGGUGGCGAAGGCGGCCAUCUGGACAGAUACUGACGCUGAGACGCGAAAGCGUGGGGAGCAAACAGGAUUAGAAACCCUAGUAGUCC
rnacentral:rRNA from 1 species